rnacentral:misc_RNA from 1 species
GAUGAAGAACGCAGCGAAAUGCGAUACGUAAUGUGAAUUGCAAAUUCAGUGAAUCAUCGAGUCUUUGAACGCACAUUGCGCCCCCUGGUAUUCCGGGGGGCAUGCCUGUCCGAGCGUCAUUGCUGCCCUCAAGCACGGCUUGUGUGUUGGGCCCCGUCCUCCGAUCCCGGGGGACGGGCCCGAAAGGCAGCGGCGGCACCGCGUCCGGUCCUCGAGCGUAUGGGGCUUUGUCACCCGCUCUGUAGGCCCGGCCGGCGCUUGCCGAUCAACCCAAAUUUUUAUCCAGGUUGACCUCGGAUCAGGUAGGGAUACCCGCUGAAUUUAAGCAUAUCAAUAAGCGGAGA